GGCGGCGUCCAGUCCAGCAUCUCCAGCUGUGACCUCCAACAGCAAAAUGAAACUUCUGUGUCUGCACUUGGUCCAGGAGAUGUUACUUCUCAUAUAGCAGUGUACACUGUUUAUCCCAGUGGGUUCCAAGAGCUGUACCGCCAUUUUCUUAGGCUCCCUAGUGGUGCAAUUGUUGAGGUGUUUGGUGAUAUCAGUGGCUUAAAGUUUAUCCCCAGUGAAGUGGUCACGGCUAUUCAGGAGCAUCUAAGUGAAAUGGACAGUGCACUGGAAGACUCCUCAGAUAUUAAAUCAAGAGGAUUGAAAAGAAUCCAUUAAAACAAAAAGGUCCACAGUGGUGCACAAGUCAUGGUGAGAAGACUAAGUUCAACUUCCUUUUCAAUCUACGGCCUUAUAAUAUGUCCUUUACCAGAAGUCAGUAACCAGUACUGGAAACAACAGCUGGACGUCGUGAUUGUCCCAAAUAUGUUUUCAGAGAACAUAGACUCAUCUUCAUUAGCUUAGAAAGAGCUACUUGGCUCCUGUGAAGUAUGAAGAGAGAUAGAAUAUCAUUGUUCACACUCUCCCACAGCAGUACUCUUUCCUUUGGAGGGAAUAAGGGGAAUGGCUAGAAGAUGAUAUAACCAAGCCUAAAUAAAUCCCCUUUCCCCUUCACUUAGCAUAAAAUUUCACAUUUUUUUUCUAGAAGAAAUUUCAAGGAAAAACAUGGAAAAAUUACAUAAUAAAAAAAAUCAAGUCACUUAAAUUAGUUGUUUUACAGCACAAAUGCUUUGUAUUCUAAGAUAUCAACAAACAGCCCCAAACUGGCUGGCUCCCAUUCGGGCUCCCCUCAUCCACCUUAGCUCUUUCUAAAAGGACCAAAGUAGACUAUUCCUUUGACUAUUCCUUUUUGUCUUUACUCCCUUGCUUUCCUUUUUUCAACUGAAGGUUUGGAAUAGGACUUAGGAUCACAAGAGGACAAGGAACUGUCAGAGGGUUGAUGGGUUAUAAAAAAAUCCUGCAUCUUUAAGAAUCAUUUGUCCUCAUUAUAGAGCAAUAAAUACAGAGGCUAUCUAGGCCCUCUGGUCCUCCUCUGCGUUUUUAAGGAAGGGUAAGCAGGUGUUUUAACAGUCACCUCUCUCAAACAAAAAGCAGUGUUUAUUAGAGAGGUCAAAUUUGAUACCUAUAACUGGGAAACAUAAACACAUCCCAUCCUGGUGAUUUUUCAGUCCUCAUCUUUAAUUAUUGUCUAACUAUAAGGAUAUCUUCAGUCUUACAUAAGACAUUGAAUUACACUAGAUGUUCCCUCUAUUGGCAGAAAUUAGCAUAUGCAUAUACUGUCUAUAUUUUUCAUCCUCUAUAGCUCUUAUUGAAGGCAGAUCAACAUUUAUUAACAUCUCUGACAACAGAUCUCAACUUCACAGAAACUAGUGAACAUUCUAAAUAGGUUUUAAUGGCUUAAAUUCUUGCACCUGCACACCUCAGGAAACUAGACUCUUCCUUCAAAAUGAUAUGGGACUGUCAGUGUCAAUGACUUCUUGCAUUCCUCCCCUCCACACUUGCAAGUAUAAUUACCUGGUCGUAGCUCUGGUCAUCAGGUACUCACCUCCACUUUCACCGAAUAGCUUUCUAUUCUAACUACAUGCUCUGCCUUCCCCAUUGGAGCAUGAAUUACCUGUGUGGAGAAUUUUUCAAAUGUAUCUUCUUAUUAACAGAGCUUAGAACGAUUCUUGGCCCUAUGCAGGGGCCCAAUAAACAUUUCCUGUUGGGAAGAUGGUGUGAAGGAGAGGUGGGGGAAGGGAUUAGGGCCAGGUGUUAUCAUUUAUAGUAUAAAUAAGAAGCCCAUCCCUCCCCCUGAAAAAAUGGGGCUGGAUACAGUAAAGUAAGUUCUAUGAUAGAUCUGUAUCAAUACAAAAUAGACUGAGAAGGAUAAAUGUAUACAUAUAAGUAGAUUUCUGCCUCCUAAACUGUAUUUCAUUAGAUUAUUAGGGCAAGUUGAUAAAGCAAAUGUAGUUGAACAAGUGAUUUGGUAAGUUUUUCACUGAACCAUCAUUUGCUUAACUGAGUUAAUAAAAACACCUAUUGAUUUUAUAGGUCUGUCACUUUUUUUUUUGGCUGCACCGUGCGGCAUGAAGGAUCUUCCUUCCCCGACCAGGGAUCAAACUCCCUCGCACUCCCUGCAGUGGAAGCACAGAGUCCUAACCACUGGACAGCCAGGGAACUCCCCUGUCACUUUUAUUAUUUAUGCUUUUCUCACUAAAAUGUAAGCUCUUCAAGGGCAGGGAUCACUGUCUGCUUUAAUUAGUGGUACCUGCCCCAGUCCUCAGUACUGCUCUUUGAACUAGUAAGUGUUCUGUCAAUUUUCAUUGGAUGAAAGCAUAAACUGAUAAGCCAGGUUUCACUUCACUUGAUAUUUAGUGUGUUGUACAGCAGUGAAUUGAAUGAACCAUGCAGAGGUCAGCAAUCAGUUGAUACUUUUCUUUUUUGUGUGUUUUCUUUAGGGACUGGUGGUCCCAAUGAAAGCAUUGGUAUAAUUCAGAAAAACAAUAUUUUCUUGCCCCUAAAGGAUGCCCAUGGCCAUAGUGUAUUUCCUAAUCCAAAAAGUCUCCUGCCACAUUACUGCAAAGCAGGAGUUGUUCAGUAUUUUAAAAUCAAGUCUACAGAACGUUUUGUUGCUCUAGUUGUUUUAUAGUUGUUUUCCUUGCCAUUGGACUGAUCUUACAGAGCUUCAACAUAGGAGUCUAACACUUUCAUUAACAUAUUGUGUGUGUGUGUGUGUGUGUGUGUGUGUGUGUGUGUAGUGUGUAGUGUGGUGGAUAGAGAUUUACUAACAUGUUCUUUCAAGAGUUCUUUCCUGUUGAGAAGGCCCAUUCUAAUGUUCACAGACUCAGUGCAGUAACUUAGUCCAAUGUUGAAAUAAGAUUUGGGUACUAUCUUAUCUCUGAAGUAAAUACCACAUUUGCAUUGGCAUUGAAACAAACUAUUUGAUUUAGAUUUUUUUUGGAUGUACAUGUAGGGUUAGUUUCUUAAUAGAAAAAUAAAUGGAGGAAAAAAGGACCUUUUAUUCUUAUAAUCAAUUCCUCUCAUUUCUGUGGCCCUUUAUGAAUUGCAAACAAUAAUCCCAUGGAUAAGGAGGGAUGGGGAUGGCCUUUGUUAGUAGAUGCUCCGCAAGAACAGAGUUCUAACGAACAUCUUCAGUGUAAUAUUCCAUUAGCAGUGUACACAUAUUCAUAUACCGUGCAAAGUGUUAUUUCAAAAUUCAAGAUAGGUUUAUAGGGGACUAUAUAGCUCUGUAAAGUCAGUUAUUUUUUCUCAGUAUAUUGAGGAUAAUUACAAUACUAAUAAUUAUUUUUCAAGAAUCUACUAGUAAAAUAAGCUUUCCUUUAUCUAUAAACUCAUGCAUUUUUUUGAUUAUUUCACUGAUAACUUCUUUUCUAGUAUUGUAGUUUCUCACUGACUUGUAUCAUUCACAUUGAUAUUUUUCCUCACAUAGAGAUAAUACACAAUACAAACUAUGGUUAUAAUUGAAAACAGUAAAAAAAAAAUACUUUUAAUAGAUCAUUUUUGCUAGUACCUACUGUGCUCUUAUUGUCCAAAUAGAUUAUCCAUUUGAAAUUAAAAUUUAUUAAGGAAUAAAAAUAUAAAUAAGAAGGAAUUAAACAUUUAAAUGCUGCUGUAAAUUUAAAAAUGAGAUCUAUUCAAUUUUCCUUGUACUAAGCUCAGUGACAAUAGAUAGAUUACACUGUCAGUUAAGCAAGUAGAUGACAAAUGAGUGAUUUUCAUCCUUCAGUUAAAUAUGGUGCUAAGUGGUAUGUGCUGGCAUUAAAAGCAAAUUACUUAUCACUUCAACAAUCACAGCAUGAGAGCGUUCUAUUGGAGGCUGUAUUUCCAGUCUUUCUUGGUCCUCAGUUUUAUUAAAUAAAUCCACUGAUAAUGGUUGGAUAAGCAAAGGAAAAAACCUGGAUGGCAUUAUGACAUUUCCAUUUUAUAAGUACCUAUUCAAGACAUCUCUACAAUGGUCUUUUGUAGUCACUGAGAAUUCACACUCACAUCUCCGUACACACAUACACACACUAUAUUUAUAUAUAAUUUCAUCUGGUCCCAUUACCUAUGUGAAGCACAAAUUCCAGCUGGCCAUCUCGCUCAAUCUUAAACACCUCUAGGCGUGGGAAAAUCACCCCUGCAAGUGAGAACUCUCAUUACUAUCACCACUAGGAAUUCCUUCCAGUAGCUUGAAAAUAGCCCUUACUGGGUUUGAGGUCCUUGCAAGAACCUGCCAAUUAUAACAGCUCAGAGCCUUGGCCAAUGAGAAGGCUUAACUAAAUAGUAGUUGACUGAGUGAAAUCAAGUAAGCCUCAUCUCUUUUUUUUAAUAUAAAUUCUUUUAUUUUGAAUACAGUGCAUUUACACAUAUUUUCCUUUUUGUGACUGGGGAGGUGUUGGGGAGAGGGGUGCGGACAUACUCAAGGGUGAGGAAGGUAACCCUGGGUACUCCGUUCAGAGAUUCAGGAAAAGUUCCACUAACCCACACAAACAAUUAUUGUUUUGCCUACUCUAGCAAUGCCUACAAUGUUUUAAAUAGGAUCAAAUAUUUGUAUUACAUAGUGAGACACUGGUGUUGUAGCAUGAACACAGAGAUCUGGUGGGCAGAGGGUCUGCUUGAUCUUGAACAAUGAGGACAUUUGCAGGACCAGGAGAGAGUGGAAUUUAGAGACUCUUCCAUUAUUGAUUUUCUUAAUCUGUUUAAACCCUGGGAUGAGCAGGAAAUCUUUUCUAAAAUUUUCUAAAAUCUUUUCUAAAAUCUUUUCUAAAAUGGUAUAAGUUCCUUAAAAAUAACCUCUCCAAUAUUUGAGUCAUGAUAAGAACUCAGUAAUUGUAUGAUCAAUGGAUGAAUGAAUGAAUGAAUAAAUAAGUACAUACAUACAUAAAUGAGAUAGUACAGUAUAAUGAUUAAGAGCUGGGGCUCUGAAGUUAGAUCCAGGUUGAAGCCCUUCUCUAUAACUUAUUAACUAUGUGAUGUUGGACAAGUUACACACUCUCACUGAGAGCUGGCAAACAUUAUUUGCUAAUUCAGUGACAUAUUUGGUACAUGUGGUUUUGAGAUUACAUGACUGGAGAGAAUAUCUCAAUUUCUGAAUAUCUGAUGCACUCUGUCCACCCCAGUGGCAGGAAAAGGCUACCUCACAAAAGACCUCACCUGAUCCAAAGCUGACCACAUGGGAUGUGAGAGCUGCCUGGUCAGGAAGGGAGCUUAAAAGGGUACCGGCUGAGCUCCAAGAGACAGAUGAUUAUCAGCUAAUGUACCAAAGAUUCUUUUUCUUCCAAAGCUAUGUAUUUUCAAUCCAGCCUUUCUCUGAAUGGCCUUGAUUGCCCUGCUUCAGUUAUUCAACUGAUUCUAUGCUUGACGUGAGUGUGUAGCAUGGUCUUCUUGACCAUCUCCUCAUGAAGGCAUCAAAAGUAGUUCUAACUGACUUCUUAUAUGGGGUUUUAUCAGUGUCCGCUUCACAGGAUUGUUGUGAGGAAUAACAGGGAGGAUGAAGGGAACGUAUUAGCUAUUGUGAUUGGCUAAGCAAAUUAAUGAGAGACAGGAAAAAAGAAGGGAGAGGGAAAGAAAAAAUGAUGGAAGAAUGGAAGGGAAUAAGAAGGAAUGAAAGGAAAGAAAUAACUUUCUUGAAGUAAGAUUAUCAUAUCAAUGGGUAGCCCACUUUAAUUUUUAAUACAUAUUAAUUUUAUUUCAGGAAUCUUGUACUAGUUUCCAUUUCAAGCACAAAUGGUAAUUGAAGUAAACUCUUUCUCCAGACUACUGCUAGUAAUGGACGUUAAUGGUAAAAAUACUUUCUUACUGAAAAGGUGAAAAACAUUUCAUUAGUAAUGUGAUUUAUUUUGCACGAUUAAUGAAAAUUUAUAGUUUUACUAUUGGAAGUCACACUUUCUUAUUGACUUAUAAUAGCUUUUUGUAUACUGAGUGCAAUGAAUCUUACAGUGAAACUGUCACCAAAAUGUACCAAGGUUGCAAGUUGUUUAGGUUGCUUUAAUAUAUAUUUUGGCAUACAAAUUCUAUGUUUUUUGUAGUUUAAUCUGUAAAGUUUUUUCUUUGUUGUCUUAACAUGGUAUAUUAAAUAGUUUAUCGUGUCU